UAUAAUGUUUAAAAGAUCACAGAUAUUGUUAGCCACGGCACUAACUGCUAUGCUAACGCUGGCUUCUGUAGGAUGUGAGCUAUAAUGUUGAUGCUAGCCAAGGUAAGUAGCUAUCACUGAUGUGUUUGUUGUUAGUUAAGCAGCGAUUGAAACGUUUUAUUAUCUAAAUGUGGAAUUAUUUUUUGUAAAGAGAAGCAUUUUAUGUUAAUAACCAUUAAGAAAUGCUAAAGCUAGAUGCCGCUUUUCGCUUCUACAUUUACGUCAACAGCGCCACCAUCUUGUUAAUGUUAAGGGCGGGAGUUCAACCCAGUACCGAGCCAUGAAAGAUGCCAGACUUAAGUGGACAUUGCCGCACAAUGGUCUUCAGUGACUUUGAAAGGACAAAACACUGGUAUCCUGGUGUCGUAGACCAAGAGUUCAAGUUGAGAUAGGUCAGCCUCUCAGGACAAGCUAGACAUCCCGUCCUCUGUCCCCUGAGGUGUGACUUUCUGGUGUUCUACAGUGUCCUGGUGUUGUGGAUCUAGGGGUUCCAGUUAAGACGUGGUCAGCCUUCUAAAGAACGUGGGAAUCUCACCUAAAUAUUCAGUUACUUUGCUGUGUGCCUCGCAAGAACAAAAACUCAAACCUUCAUCUUCUCCUGGUAUCCUGGUGUCACGUGCCAGGGGGUUCAAGUUAAAACGUCAUCAGCCUUCUGAAGACAACACAGUUGAAAAGCGCAGAGAGAUUACCAUUCGCUGCCUCAUAGUCUAUAUUGGAGAGAAGGAGGAGGAUCUUUUCAAACAAUACAGCGUAAGUACUUGACUACUUUUUCAAUUUUUUGUUUUGUUUGAAAUAUGUGUCUGUAGGUUCUGUGUGUUUUUGUUCAUUGGAUUUUCUGUUCAAGUUUGAGUAAUGAAGGGAUGUUCCACCCCUAAGUGAAAAUUUGUCUAUUGCCAUAAUCCCCAGAGUUUGAUAAGUGAGAAAAACACCUUUUGUUACCAGCACAGUAAUUUUCUUGAUCUGGCAGUAAUAUGUCUGCUUUAACUGAGCAUAAACAAUGGAAGUGAAUAGCAGGUAGUAGAAUUUUGUGUGUAAAAGUGAUUAAAAUGACACAAUAAUGAUACCAACUGGAAAAGUUCCUGAAGAAACUUUGAGAGGGCGUGCUACCGGCAGUACUUCCAUGUUGGCAUAAAGU